GGCUGAAUAUGAGCCAGCAGUGUGCCCAAGUGGCCGAGAAUGCCAAUGGCAUCCUGGCUUGGAUCAGGAAUGGUUUGGUGAGCAGGACUAAAGAAGUUAUCCUGCCCCUGCACUUGGCAUUGGUGAGGCCUCACCUCGAGUGCUGUGUUCAGUUUUGGCCACCUCAGUACAGAAAGGACAUGGAGGUGUUGGAGCAGGUCCAAAGAAGCUCAACAAGGCUUGUGAAGGGCUUAGAGAAUAUGGCCUAUGAGGAGAGACUGAAGGAACUGGGGCCGUUUAGUCUGGGGAAAAGGAGGCUGAGGGGAGACCUCAUUGCUCUCUUCCGAUAUCUGAAAGGUGCUCACAGCGAGAGCAGGGUUGGUCUCUUCUCACUGGUGACAGGUGACAGGACAAGGGGAAAUGGCCUCAAGUUGUGCCAGGGGAGGCUUAGGUUGGAUAUUAGGAAACGCUUCUUUACAGAAAUGGUUGUUCAGCACUGGGAUGGGCUGCCCAGGGGGUGGUUGAGUCACCAUCCCUGGAUGUGUUUAACAACCAUUUGGAUGUGGUGCUCAGGGACGUGAUUUAGCGGAGGGAUGUUAGAGUUAGGGUAGGAUGGUUGGGUUGUGGUUGGACUCAGUGAUCUUUAAGGUCUUUUCCAACCUGAGUGAUUCCAUGAUGCUAUGAUUCUAUUUCCUUGCACCCACAGGGAAAGCAGAGAAACAAAAAGGAAAAGGACUGCAUACACAUUCAGUGUAAAGGAAACAUGAAAAUAAAAUAAAUGGCUUUUCCAGAGUCAUUUUGCAGAAAAUAGAGGAUUUUUUUUCCCAGUGGAUUAGCAUUUGAUGCAGUUCUUUUUUUCUGUAUAUUUUUUUAUUGUUAGAUGUUCUGAAUAAUAAGAUGAUGUUUUAGUGAGGAUGAGCAGAGUAGUCCCCAAUUUAACUAAUACAACUGUACAUUCGUUCUGGGUCUUUGUCAACAUACAUUAAAAAUACUUCAUUGGUUCAACCCAUUUAGUUUUCUGAGGGAGUCUUGGGAAUUCCUUGCUGUUAAAUGAAUUAAGAGACACAGCCAGUCUGGAAGAGGAGCCUUUGAAUGUUUCAUUUCUCUGUUGCAUAAUGCACUGACACAUCCUGCCUCUGAAGGUGUCUCACAAAGCAGUCGUGGAGUGAUGGCUGAAAUGAAGUUUUGUAUGCUUGUGUCAUUUUCUUUGUGGGUGUGCAGGUUGGGACUGAACCCUACAAAGGCUGCUGCCUGUAGAGGGGCUGCUCAGUGCAGAAAGUCUGUACAGGAGCUGUGCAUGGUUUGGGCUUCUGAUUUAUUUCUUUUCUUUCCUCCUUUUGUUUUUUUUUCCUUUUUUUUUUCUGGCCCCUGCUCUGGACGCCACUGAAGUCACUGAAGGCUGCAUUCAGGAAACUUUGAAUCAGGCCCCUGAUAAGGGCAGCAUGCAUGGAGUUCCAAGAUGUGUCCUGGAAAGAGGAAUUCUUACAGAGAGAUGUGAUGAAAUACUGCCAUGCAUGAAGGAAGUGACUGUUAAGGAGAGCAAAAAAGACAAUUUCCAAGCAUGGUAAAAGAUUGGAGUGAAUUUGAUGCUAUUGAAAGACUGAUUUUACAGAAUAGGAGACUAGAAUUCUGCUUGCAAAGUGAACAUCUUUGGAAACCCAACAAGUACUUCAAAAGAAACACUGCAGACCUCUCAGAAAUGCCUGUGGACUACUGAUGGUCUUCAAAGAAUUUGGGCGGCACUAUGGAGCAGCGUUAAUCACUGCAGGUAAGGGAGGAAGUGUUAACUUAGAAUCUGUGGGGAUGUUACAGCUGAUAUUUUUCAUACAUAAUAACCUUGUUCCUCUUAGAGCAUUUCAUGUAUUUGGUAUUUAAAUUAGACUUCAUUUAGUAAUAUAGCUUAGUGUACCAUCUGAAACCAAAGAUGCAGAAUCUUUAAGUGUUUUAUCAUCCUUCUCAGUCUCUUCAAGUCCUUGUCAGUGUUGAAGCAGUUCUUUUAUGGCUCAGUUAAAGCACGUGCAGAAAUUUCCAAAAGUUUUAUUUGAAACUAUUACUGAUUUCCAUAACAAAGUGUAAAAAAAGCAACACAGUGGCCUAAACGGAGAUGAGAGACUCUUAAGAUUCCUCUUUAAACACAACAAACACACGGAAUCAUUGAGAAAGCCUGUGUAAGCUCAUGAAGUUGAUGUUAGACAAGAAAAAUGCUGACUGAAUUGCAGUGGCAAAUAUUUAAUCUUUCUAGAGGUCAGGGAUGUUUUAAAUAGAAGAGUGUUUUUUCCUCUUCAUUUAGCCCAUUGUCUCUUUAUUGCUGGUUGUGCUAGAUUCUUUCUGACAUCCUAAGAAAGUAUUGAUGGCUAUGGAAUAGAGGACCUAACAGUGGCUGUCAUGACAAACAGAGUGUAGGAAUAUCCAGAUUUCUUCC
ensembl:lncRNA